UCCAAUGAUAAAACCCGGGUGGAGGGGGUCAAAAAUACAACUUCAGAAUGUCCCCCCCUGUUCCCAGUGAAAGUUGCACCCCUGCUCAUAAUACAGCUGGCACCAGUCUAUACCAGUCCCAAUGCUUUUCCAUUGUUUCUGUUCUCCUUAUAAGCAGAGACUCAUUCCAAUAGCAAUAUUUCUGCAAUACACUUCUAAUGAAUGAGCAGCAAGCAACAUAAAAAAAUAUAUCCUCUAUUUAAUAUGAUUACGUUAAUAAAAUAAAUGAUGAUACAUUGAAUACAAUUAAAACACUGUGUCACUAGACACAUGUGUAACUCUUGAAACAGGAUAAAAGGUGGGCGACUGUGGACUCGCCUCAUUUCAUUUCCUUCAAACCCACCAACCUGCCUCUCUGGAUGAAGGAAAGGGGGUGAGAAAGGGAAGCUGUUCCAAGAUUUUAUCAGCUGCUGAGUAGUGAGAGCCAGAUAGAGAGCACGUCUGGGAAUCGCUGCAGAUAGGAAACACAAGGACAGAGACAGGCAGACAGCUCACUGAGGAUGGUCAUCUUUUCGCAUGGCAGUCCACGUUUGGCUGGCAGAGGGUUUUGUUCAGUUGAUGUUGUCAUUACACAGGGAACUCUUCAUACAGAAACGGUCUUUGUGGCUGUUUUGUUAUUUCGUGUUGUAUAGCUAAGUUCACUUCAUGUCACCAUGCGUGACAAGAUAAUUGAAACUUUUUGAGCUCUCGCGGGUUGCCUGUGGGGAUCAAAGACUAGAAUCUUAUUGUGGAUCAUUUGACCGAAUAAAUAAUCAUUAUCUUAUCAUCACCUCAAACUCUUUGGCAAGGAAAGGAAAGACUGAAAUAAAUCUCCCUUAUCGCUAAGAGCUUAGCUCUUCUCUCGACUUUCCCCCGCGGUGUGAGCAACUGUCCUCUUGUAGUCCUUGCGUAGUGUGGUCGCUAAAUUGCUAAUAAUCAGUGUUUGUAAUGUAUUAUUAUUAUUUUUUAAGUUAAACGUUUUUUGUUAAAAGUUUUAACUUCAUUCAGACAGACAUAUCAAACACACCAUUUACUCCGACGUGGUGUACAGACAGGUUGUUAGGGUGUUAGUCUGCCACUAUGCAGCCUGAACGAGCACAUAAAGCUGUGUGUGGGCAGAGCCUGCUGUCCAUCGCCCUCAGGGUGUAUCUAAACAACAAGAACAGACUGCAGCCCAUCAUCGGUUUGAGCUACGUGACAGAGUGUGUGACGCUCGGCCGGGACUCUGAGGCGGUGUACCUGUGUGAGGUGUGUGUGUGUCGUCUCAGUAAGGCUGACGUCAGGAGCCACAUCAUGGGGAGUCUCCAUAGAUACAGAUACAUAAAAGUCGAUCACCCUCACUUUGUGUCAGAGUGGAAGCCGAGUCCUGACCUGUCAAUGCUGGCCCGGCCUCUUAUGGAGAUGGCUCAAAUACUAGAGAAGAGAGAAGGAACUGGGGACGUACAGGUGCUGGAGUUGGAUGCUGCCAUUUAUGAGGAGAUGACGUUGCACAGUGACAUCGAUGCUCUCAUCCUCUUGCAUGCCAUCAGGACUGGGCGGGAGCAGAGAAAUCUCAAGAGCCAAUCAGAGAAGCCAUCAGUCCAGUCGGAGUAUCUCGCCAUCCGAUCACAGAGAACCAUUAUAUCACCUCAGAGGCUCUACGUCCAACCUGAGAAGCCUGUUGUCCAGAUUGAUAACCGAACUGUCCUAUGGAAGAGUCCGACUGCCCGGAGGAACUCAUCUGGCCAAUCAGAGAAGUCCCCUAUAUUGCGGCAGAGUGUUUCUGUCCAAUCACAACUCAGCUCGGGGAAGGAGGAGAGGUUUUUCCAUGAAACCAAGCCUCUGAUUGGUGCUUCACUAAAGUGUCCUGCGUCAGCGUUACCAUGGCAGCAUGACCCCUCUCUUUCACCGACCCCUGAUUAUGUCACAGAUGGAGGUCAGACAUCACUGGGUGGUUCUGAGGAGGCGGGACUACAGGGGGUUGCAUCGAAGGUGAUUCGCUGUGAGCCGGUGUUCAAGGUGAUUCUGUCUAUGACUGACGGUCCCCUGCUGCUGGAGAGGAACUCCUUCAGCCUGGAAACCUCCCUUUCACACUCCUUACCCCUUCACUCCCCACCAUAGAUGCCUCCACCCAGCCCCAUCCCACACCCAUCCCACAUUCUGUCAGAUCAACUGACAGAAUGUACCAAACAGGAGAAAGAUCAACUGACAGAAUGUACCAAACAGGAGAAAGAUCAACUGACAGAAUGUACCAAACAGGAGAAAGAUCAACUGACAGAAUGUACCAAACAGGAGAAAGAUCAACUGACAGAAUGUACCAAACAGGAGAAGGGACAACUGACAGAAUGUACCAAACAGGAGAAAGAUCAACUGACAGAAUGUACCAAACAGGAGAAGGGACAACUGACAGAAUGUACCAAACAGGAGAAGGGACAACUGACAGAAUGUACCAAACAGGAGAAGGGACAACUGACAGAAUGUACCAAACAGGAGAAAGAUCAACUGACAGAAUGUACCAAACAGGAGAAGGGACAACUGUAUGCUACAGGAGCGAGGCUAACUGACUGUUAGUUGAUGGAGAAAGAGGAACAAUGCAGAGCUGAAACUCAGGAAGGAGUUGGAGGGGGAGAAAUGGGGGUCAUGGGGGAGGAAAGCUGAGAGAGAGGGAGGUAAACUCUGGCUUUCACCACCAACAGUAUUUUCAAGGCCAGCCUCCACAACGGAACCAGGCGCAGGGGUUUACAGAAGCUCAGGUUGACACAGCAGCUCUCAGACAUGACAUAGCACUUCAUAGGGAUCAGGCAGGGCCAUUCCUUCACAGAGGAGACAUGAGCAUUCGUAUGGGUGACAUAGCAGGUGCAGUUGUGUGAGUUCAGAGGUCAGAGUUCAGAGGAGCGUGGUCCUACAGAGCCAAACAGCUGACCCCUGACACCUAUAGAACAGGUCCGCAGGGUUACGAGACACACCCUGGUCCUUACCCAGAGGGCCACAGAAUGAACCGUGACCCUUACCGAGUUUGUUUCUGAUGGGAUCAGAACCAACCCUGGCCCACACCUCUUUCCCACUAACCCUAUCGGGUUCAAACCCCAGCCCCUCCCGUACACUCGCUAUCCACUCACCCAGGGGAUUGCACCCCAUCCAUACCUUGAUCCUUUCCUCAGGAGCAUGGGGGGCGUGCAGCCACAGGAGUACAGAGAUCUAGACCCCCCCCCCCACAGCCAUUCCCUCCAGGACACGGAGAGUUCCUGUCCCCCCGGGACACGGCCCAGUCAUCCUCCCCAGCCCUCCCUGUCACAGAGUAGGCUAUUGGGUCCACAUCCCUGCCUUGGGUCCCUGAGCAGCUCCAGGACCAGGACCUCCCUGGGUCUAACUACCACGGAUGAUUAUUCUAGUGGUGCUUUAGACACUGACUUUGUUGUUUUAAAUGGACAGGUGUUUUCUGUGUUUGUUUUAUACACUCCGGUUUCUAUGGUUUUUUUAUACAACAGGCGGGUCUAAUCCUGGAUGCUGAUUGGUUAAAACCGCAUUCCAGACUGUUUUUAUUUAAGCAAUAAGGCCCGAGGGGGUGUGGUAUAUGGCCAAUAUACCACGGCUAAGGGCUGUUCUUAUGCACGAUGCAACGCCUGGAUACAGCCCUUAGCCGUGGUAUAUAUGGCCAUAUACCACAAACCCCCGAGGUGUCUUAUAGCUAUUAUAAACUGGUUACCAAUGUAAUUAGAGCUGUAAAAAUAAAUGUUUUGUCAUACCCGUGGUAUACUAAAGUGAUAAUGCCCGAGAAGCCGGUGUUUGGAGGGUAAAUUGGCACGGGUGUUGUUAGGCCCGAGAAGAAGUCGAUCAGCAUUAGACCCACCCAUUGUGUAAAACAUUAUACAACGGGUGGGUCUAAUCCUGAAUGCUGAUUGGUUAAAACCGCAUUCCAGCCGGUGUCUAUUCCACAAGUUACCACUGGCUAAAUCUAUGAAGUUAAAAUGCCUAGUAUUUACUCUGUUCCAUCUGACUGCUGCAAUCCACUGUCUCAUCAGCCCAGCCAGGCAAUUUAUGAACUUGAUCUCCACUAUAAAAAGCAUCUAGUCAUUAUCUCACAUUUCUUUUAGACUUACAUUUAUUUUUAAACAGCAGAGAGUUGUACAAACCUUGCUGUCUGUCUCUCCGACAUUUGCAACAUUGUUUCAAUAUUGAAAUUCGAUCUCCAGCUGUUGCAUAGUAAUGAACGUGGCCGGAGUCGGGAUGAGACAGACAGGCAGGCAGUAUUUCUUAGCCAGUCGAAAUCAUGAAUCAGCAUAAUUUUUAUGGAGAUAUACAAAGAACUAUCAAUAGAAAACAGGUCAAACUCUUGUGUUGCGACGUGCUUAAGAGCAGCCUUUAGCCGCGGUAUAUUGGCCAUAUACCACACCCCCUCAGGCCUUAUUGCUUAAUUAUACACUGGAUUGGAUUCUGUUGGUUUUAUUGAUGAUUUUGGGUUGUUGUAAACAUGUACAAUUAUUUUCUCUCCCCUGUAAGCAUGUGAUUGGAUUUCAUGACUUCAUACAACCGUCACUGAUUCCAACUCACCGGUUCAACUCUGUUACCGAUUCAAAUUUAUACAAGACAAGACUUGUUUGUUUUAAGUUGUUUGUCUGCUGCUGACAAGAUGGGGAGAUAAACCACUCAUUGAACAUUGCCUCAGUUUGUGAAACACAUCUUCGACGAACCAACUACUGAGAGACCGUGAAGAAGUGAGAGAAAAUAAGAAACCUGCACACUUCCCUUGCUCGUAUCACUGCUCGUUAUUAAGCUUUACGUAUCGGCCUUAAGGCCUUCGUCAGAGCUUUUGUGAGUGUUUUUUAUUUUGCACCCUUAUGUAGACAUUGCUCCACCCACAUCCGUUCAAUGCAUGGAAUGGGGUUGGAGUAUUCAUCUGUUACCGUGCAUCUGCAACAAAGAUAGCUCAGAUGUGCGAUUGCCUUUUGAAUUUUUAGACCAUGAAGAAGUAAAAUAAUAUCUUUGUUGCCUUUUUCUACGUUUUAUUUUAGUUAUAGACUCAGCGAUAUGACGUAGAUGCAAAAAGUAAACAUAGUGGGUCAAAUCCCUCAAAAACUUUGAAGCGCGAGGUUCAACUUCUCCUCUGUUUUAGUCGUGUGGCAAUCACGCUGGAAUUACAUGAAGCGAACCCGUGCACAUGGGACGAUACCAUGUGUGACUGUGUGAGAGCGAAGUCUUGCAUAUCGAUAUCUGCGGUUCUGCUCGUGGCAACAUCAUUUCACUGAGUCUACCUUUUAACGCGAGCAUUUUUCUAAAUGUACAUGUGUACUUAAGGUAUAUUUGACAUAAUUAACAGGGAUUCAUUAGGUGGUCAACAUUGACCUUUCCAGAAAUGUCCAGAAGGAGUUGCUAUAUGAGUUUGUGACCAGCGGAGGGUAGCAGAGCUGAAUAAGUUGUUUAAAUUGAGGUUCAUAGUCACAGUGGAGGACUUGUUACACAGUUUUCACACUUAUCACCUCAGGAAAUUGGGUUUAGUAGAGAGAUCCUAUUAAAUGAGUAUUCUAAUUCCUAAUCCAAUGGGGUUUAGUUCAUCAACGUGGCUCUGGCCAGUGUCCGGCUAUACUUUGACUUUGGUUCAUACUUGUGACUCACAAAAUCUAAGUUGUGUUGUAUACUGUAAAUAAUAAUAAUUUGAAAAUGGAAGAAAAUCUGCUCAGUUGAGCCAUUUUCAAUGGUUUCAUUGUUCAUAAUUUUUUUCUCAUUUUCAUGUGCAGCACUUUACUCAGAAAGUUGCAUUUGACGAUGGCCCAGUGGCAAUUUAUGGACAGGAUCAAAUAUUUUUCAGCGGGUCCAGAGAAAGACUGUAUUAUAUAGACUAUUAUGGUUCAUGUAGCACAGAUGGAGUAAAGUAGUGUUUGUUAUUCGUUUACAUUUUUUCCCCCCCAUUGAGAUUCAGGAAUGUUACCAAAUAUAUUUAAAACUAACCCAAGAUAGUUAAUCUGUGUCGUUUUCAAUGGGAGCAAAUGAAGCAUAGUGGACAGGAAGGAGGUUGGCAGAGACAAGCAGGAGCUAGCGAGAUCCUAUUGGUGCAUUCUAGUAUUUAUUUGAAUAUUUCCAUUAGGGAACACCUCUCUGAAGUGUGUGUGUGUGUGUGUACAAUAACUAAAUUCACAUUUGCACUCCUUGUAAACAACACCAUUUAAAAAAAAAAUAAACUUUGGCAAAAGGUCACGCCUACAAAACUUAGUGCAUAGUUCCUAACAGAUUUGACUUUUGGUAACAGAAAACUGUAUUGAGAUCGGCCUUUUCUGAUAAAACCAUCAGAAUGUCGGUCAGUUCCAUCUCGUUCCGUACACUCCCACUAGCGGCCACUUGGCUUCCUCUCAUCACCAUAUUUGGUCGGGAGUGGAAAAACCAACCGGAUGCUCCAGAUUUAUACAUCCAGUGAAACAUCUGGCUCCUUGUUCCAUCUAUGUCGUUACUGCUGCAUACAAUUGUUUACCUUUGUGUUGCUGCUGUAUUUGAAUACUUUAUGACCUUCAGGCUAAUAAAGUCAAUAUUAACAGUUUAACACCUCAGGCGCCUGCUUCAGUAUGCAGUGUUUUUUAGACAGUUUAUACCAGGGAUCUGUAAGCUAUGGUCCUCCAGAAAAAUGUAAAUGAGCACUGACUAGUGUCAGCCAGAGUCAUACAGUACCAGUCAAAAGUUUGGACACACCUACUCAUUCAAGGGUUUUUUUUUAUUUGUACUAUUUUAUACAUUGUAGAAUAAUAGUGAAGACAUCAAAACUAUGAAAUAACACACAUGGAAUCGUGAUGAAAAAAGUGUUAAACAAAUCAAAAUAUAUUUGACAUUCUUCAAAGUAGCCACCCUUUGCCUUAAUGACAGCUUUGCACAAUAUUGGCAUUCUCUCAACCAGCUUCACGAGGUAGUCACCUGGAAUGCAUUUCAAUUAACAGGUGUGCCUUGUUAAAGUUAAUUUGUGGAAUUUCUUUCCUUCUUAAUGCGUUUGAGCCAAUCAGUUGUGUUGUGACAAGGUAGGGGUGGUAUACAGAAGAUAGCCCUAUUUGGUAAAAAAACAAGUCCAUAUUAUGGCAAGAACAGCUCAAAUAAGCAAAGAGAAAUGACCGUCCAUCAUUACUUUAAGACAUGAAGGUCAGUCAAUUCGGUACAUUUCGAGAAAUUUGAAAGUUUCUUCAAGUGCAGUCGCAAAAACCAUCAAGCGCUAUGAUGAAACUAGCUCUCAUGAGGACCGCCACAGGAAAGGAAGACCAAGAGUUACCUCUGCUGCAGAGGAUAAGUUCAUUACAGUCACCACCCUCAGAAAUUGCAGCCCAAAUAAAUGCUUCACAGAGUUCAAGUAACAGACACAUCUCAACAUCAACUGUCCAGAGGAGACUGUGUGAAUCAGGCCUUCAUGGUCGAAUUGCUGCAAAGAAACCACUACUAAAGGACACAAAUAAUAAGAAGAGACUUGCUUGGGCCAAAAAACAAGCAAUGGACAUUAGACCGGUGGAAAUGGGUCCUUUGGUCUGAUGAGUCCAAAUUUGAGAUUUUGGAUUCCAACCGCCGUGUGUUUGUGAGACGCAGAGUAGGUGAACGGAUGAUCUCCGCAUGUGUGGUUCCCACCGUGAAGCAUGGAGGAGGAAGUGUGAUGGUGGUUUGCUGGUGACACUGUCUGUGAUUUAUUUAGAUGUCAAGGCACACUUAACCAGCAUGGCUACCACAGCAUCCUGCAGCGAUACAUCAUCACAUCUGGUUUACGUACCUCCAAGCUGUGUAAGGGCUAUUUGAGUGUAAUGUUUACUGUUCAUUUUUAAUUGCUUAUUUCACUUUUGUUUAUCUAUUUCACUUGCUUUGGCAAUGUAAACAUAUGUUUCCCAUGCCAAUAAAGCCCCUUGAAUUGAAAUUGAAUUGAGAGAGAGAGCAUCACUUUCUCCUCCAUAGCCUACAGUUUUUGUUUUGGUAAGAAGAAAACAAUUUUUUUUUGAGAGGAGCCCCUAUUCAUUUCAGCUCUGUAAGUCAUGGGUGGGGGAGAUCCCUGAAAAAUAGCUGACAAGUACAGGCAAAACAUUCCCUUAUAUAUAUACACAUAUGGCGUUUUGUGUAACUGCUACCGUCUCUUAUGACCGAAAAGAACUUCUGGACAUCAGAACAGCGAUUAAUCAACGCGGACUGGAAGAAACUUUUUUCCUUUAACGAGUCCGACGAGAAGGAUAUCCUGCUUUCACUGGAGCAGGCCCAGAUCCAAGCCUUUUGCGUGAAGAAAAGACGCAGGAAAAGGGGCCGCAGAUCGGACAGCCUUCUGAGAAUCUGUAAACUCCCACUGCCAUCCGUUCUUCUUGCUAACGUGCAAUCAUUGGAAAAUAAAAUUGAUGACCUACGAUUAAGAUCAUCCUACCAGCGGGACAUUAAAAACUGUAACAUCUGAUGUUUCACGAGACGUGGCUGAACGACGAUACAGACAAUAUAGAGCUAGCGGGAUUUUCCAUGAGACGCUACCUCUGGUAAGAAGACGCUACCGCUGGUAAAACGAGGGGUGGGGGUGUGUCUAUUUGUCAAUAAAAGCUGGUGCACGAUGUCUAAUAUUAAAGAAGUCUUGAGGUAUUGCUCGCCUGAGGUAGAGUACCUUAUGAUAAGCUGUCGACCACACCAUCUACCAAGAGAGUUCUCAUCUAUAUUAUUCGUAGCCAUCUAUUUACUACCACAGACCGAUGCUGGCACUAAGACCGCUCUCAACCAACUCUGUAAGGCCAUAAGCAAAGAAGAAAAUGCUCACCCAGAAGCGGCGCUCAUAGUGGCCCGGUACUUUAAUGCAGGCCAACUUAAAUCAGUUUUACCACAUUUUUAACAGCAUGUGCAACCAGAGAAAAACAAUCCUAGACCACCUUUACUCCACACACAGAGAUGCAUACAAAGCUCUCCCCCGCCCUCUAUUUGGUAAAUCUGACCAUAAUUAUAUCCUCCUGAUUCCUGCUUACAAGCAAAAACUAAAGCAGGAAGUACCAGUGACUCGCUCAAUACGGAAGUGGUCAGAUGACGCGGAUGCUACACUACAGGACUGUUUUGCAGCACAGACUGGAAUAUGUUCCGGGAUUCAUCCAAUGGCAUUGAGGAGUACACCACCUCAGUCAUCGGCUUCAUCAAUAAGUGCAUCGACGACAUCAUCCCCAUAGUGACUGUACAUACAUAUCUCAACCAGAAGCCAUGGAUUACAGGCAACAUCCGUAUCGAGCGUAGAGCAUAGAGCUGCCGCUUUCAAGAAGCGGGAGACUAAUCCGGAUGCUGAUAAGAAAUCCCGCUAUGCCCUCAGACGAACCAUCAUCAAACAAGCAAAGCAUCAAUACAGGACUAAGAUUAAAUCCUACUACACCGGCUUUGACGUUAGUCGGAUGUGGCAGGGCUUGAAAACUAUUAAGGAUUACAUAGGGAAACCCAGACGCGAGCUGCCCAGUGACACGAGUCUACCAAAUGAGCUAAAUGCCUUUUAUGCUCGCUUCAAGGCAAGUAACACUGAAGCAUGCACGAGAGCACCAGCUGUUCUGGAUGACUGUGUGAUAACGCUCUCGGUAGCCGAUGUGAACAAAACCUUUAAACAGGUCAACAUUCACAAAGCCACUGGGCCAGAUGGAUUACCAGGACAUGUACUCAAAGCAUGCGUGGACCAACUGUCAAGUGUCUUCACUGACAUUUUCAACCUCUCCCUGACCUAGUCUGUAAUACCUACAUGUUUCAAGCCGACCACCAUAGUCCCUGUGCCCAAGGAAGCAAAGGUAACCUGCCUAAAUGACUACCACCCAGUAGCACUCACGUCGGUAGCCAUGAAGUGCUUUGAAAGGCUGGUCAUGGUUCACAUCAACACCAUCAUGCCAGAAACCCUAGACCCACUCCAAUUUGCAUACCGCCCCAACAGAUCCACAGAUGACACAAUCUCAAUCGCAAUCCACACUGCCCUUUCUCACCUGGACAAAAGGAACACCUAUGUGAGAAUGCUGUUCAUUGACUACAGCUCAGCGUUCAACACCAUAGUGCCCACGAAGCUCAUCACUAAGCUAAGGACUCUGGGACUAAACACCUCCCUCUGCAACUGGAUCCUGGACUUCCUAACAGGCAGACCCCAGGUGGUAAGAGUAGGCAACAACACGUCUGCCAUGCUGAUCCUUAACACUGGGGGCCCUCCUGUAUUCCCUGUUCACCCACGACUGCGUGGCCAAACAUGAUUCCAACACCACCAUUAAGUUUGACGAUGACACAACAGUGGUAGGCCUGAUCACCGACAACGAUGAGACAGCCUAUAGGGAGGAGGUCAGAGAACUGGCAGUGUAGUGCCAGGACAACAACCUCUCCCUCAAUGUGAGCAAGACAAAGGAGCUGAUCGUGGACUACAGGCCCCCAUUAACAUUGACGGGGCUGUAGUGGAGCGGGUCGAGAGUUUCAAGUUCCUUGGUGUCCACAUCACUAACGAACUAUCAUGGUCCAAACAUAUCAAGACAGUCGUGAAGAGGGCACGACAAAACUUUUUCCCCCUCAGGAGACUAAAAAGAUUUGGCAUGGGUCCUCAGAUCUUCAAAAAUUUCUACAGCUGCAUCAUCGAGAGCAUCCUGACCGGUUACAUCACCGCCUGGUAUGGCAACAGCUCGGCAUCUGGCCAUAAGGUGCACAGAAGGUAGUGCGAACGGCCCAGUACAUCACUGGGUCCAAGCUUCACGCCAUCCAGGACCUAUACAAUAGGUGGUGUCAGAGGAAAGCCCAUAAAAUUGUCAAAGACUCCAGUCACCCAAGUUAUAGACUGUUUUCUCUGCUACCGCACUCAAUUAAUAAAAUCACCACCAGACAAUUUACAUUGACUGCCCUUUUGCACACUGCUGCAACUCGCUGUUUAUUAUCUAUGCAUAGUCACCCCCACCUACAUGUACAAAUGACCUCAACUAACCUGUACCCUGCACACUGACUCGGUACCGGUGCCCCCUGUAUAUAGCCUCAUUAUUGUUAUUUUAUUGUGUUACUUUUUAUUAUUACUUUUUAUUUUAGUCUACUUGGUAAAUAUUUUAACUGCACUGUUAGUUAAGGGCUUGUAAGUUAUAAUUUCACGGUAAGGUCUACACUUGUAUUCGGCGCAUGUGACAAAUGAAGUUUGAUUUGAUAUACGUACCUUUAGAAAGUAUUCACACCCUUUGACUUUCCCCACAUUUUGUUGUGUUACAGCCUAAAUUAAAAAUGUAUUCAAUUGAGAUUUCACUGAUCUAUACAGUGAAAUUAUGUUUUUUUUCUUAUUUUUUUCUAAGUAUUAUGUUUAAUAAAAAAUGAAAAGCUGAAAUGUCUUGAAUCAAUAAAUAUUCAACACUUUUCAGAAAGUGAAAGCAACUCUUAUGGGCAAAAAAAUAAAUAAUAAUAAUAGCAUAAAUAAUCACAAGCUUUCUGCUAGUACACAAAGAGAACCCCGUCGGUCCCCUGUCGCGGAACGGAACGGAGCGAGCUCGUCCCUCCCUGGCCCUGCCCCGCGCGCAGCGAUCAACAGGUUCAUCUUUUAAUGUUGAGGAUGUCCUUAGACCUUCUAUGAAAGAGGGUAAAUUUAGGCAAACAUACAAAUUGUUUGACUUUGCUAGAUAUAUCUCAUAUCAAAUGUUUUCAAAUAUUUGCCUUGAGAAUAAUGUCCUAAGAAGUCAAGCUGAUAUAUAUUUCAGGUGGGCAUGAAGAUGUCGAACCCAAAGUUGAGCAGCUGAUGAGUAAAGUAAAAAAGCUACAACAAGGUAGCCAUUAUUAACCCCUUCCACACUACAAAUGAAUCAUAUAUGCCUAAUGGAAGAGCGAUGUUGAUUAGGGUUUAAAAUAUACAUGAUAAAUGAAGAACUCAGGCUAAUAACAGAAAUUUGAUUUAGUAUUUUUUGUCAUAAUUGAUCUAGCUGAAGAUAGCAUCCUGCAAGCCAUAAUGGUUUUGUCUCAGUAAAAGUGUGGUUAAGCAUACAGUGUGGUGUGGAUGUAUGUAUUUUUGGUGUUCCCUCUCAGGUAAGAGAGCUAUAGAGGAGGAGGUGAAAGAGGCCCAGUCACUCAGAGACUCUCUGCAGGAAGAACUCGAUGCCCUACAGACGGAAGCUUACCAACUGGAGGGUGUCCACAAAGAGAAAGAAGGUGGAGUUACAACACACAGAACACUCACGUUUACGUUAAGGCCAUACACAUUUUAUUCAACGUUUAACAGAUGCCCCUCACAUUUCUCAAAAAUAAAAACUGAAAAGUUUCAAGGUUAUCGCAAAAGUAAUAUCCUCAAGCAUCCACUAAAGAGAUACACAACUUCCUCGUUUUUAUGGCCUUAGCACAGCUUAUAAUGAAGCUAACAUCGCUAGAAAAGGUUGCUAGGUGUUGUAUUAAGUUGUUAUAGUAUUUUUACAAGGUUGUCCACUUAUUUUUAUAGUUUUUUUUUCGCUUUGUUAAAACAGUAAGAUACAUUUGUAUUUAUGUCAUGAGAAAAGUAGCCUUUCUGGAAAUACUGAGAGAUUCAUGCCAUGACAUCAUGGCAACAGAAUGAUGAUUGGGUUAGAAUAGAGUAAGCCUUUAGUGGAAACAUUUGUUUUAUUUGACUUUCAGGGUUCGUUAUAUAUUACACACUGACUCAUCUCAAUGGUAUGCUGAUGUUAGAGCUGAUGAUUGUGGUCAGUCUCAAAUAUCUGAUCCCAUUUAUCAGUCAGUCAUUCUUAAUUUUCCAGUUACAGAAUAUUACAACACACGAAUGAACCUACUACCAAAAUCAGUAGACCUUAUUCCCUUCUAUUCCUUGAAAUCCAUAGUGCUCUCAAAGGUAAUACGUUUACAGUUGUUUUUGUCCUAUUUAAAACUGAUGAUGAUGUUUUUAUCCCAGAGUCGUACAUGGUGCUGCAGUUCCAGUGUGAAGAGAUGGAACAGGACUCUACCAGGCAGCAGCAGCUUAACAGGAAGAGUGAGGACCUGAUAGAACAGUACAGAUGUCAGAUCCAGGAGACUAAGCUCAAACACAGGAAACACCGGUAACUAUGUAGCGGUGCAGGGGGAACAGUCAGAAUGGGGGCUUGAACCAACAGCCAUUAGAGAGAUCAGAUGGAGGGAGAACGGUCAGAAUGGGGUCUUGAACCAACAGCCACUAGAGAGAUCAGAUGGAGGGAGAACCGUCAGAAUGGGGUCUUGAACCAACAGCCACUAGAGAGAUCAGAUGGAGGGAGAACCGUCAGAAUGGGGGCUUGAACCAACAGCCAUUAGAGAGAUCAGAUGGAGGGAGAACCGUCAGAAUGGGGGCUUGAACCAACAGCCAUUAGAGAGAUCAGAUGGAGGGAGAACCGUCAGAAUGGGGGCUUGAACCAACAGCCAUUAGAGAGAUCAGAUGGAGGGAGAACCGUCAGAAUGGGGGCUUGAACCAACAGCCAUUAGAGAGAUCAGAUGGAGGGAGAACCGUCAGAAUGGGGUCUUGAACCAACAGCCACUAGAGAGAUCAGAUGGAGGGAGAACCGUCAGAAUGGGGGCUUGAACCAACAGCCAUUAGAGAGAUCAGAUGGAGGGAGAACCGUCAGAAUGGGGUCUUGAACCAACAGCCACUAGAGAGAUCAGAUGGAGGGAGAACCGUCAGAAUGGGGUCUUGAACCAACAGCCAUUAGAGAGAUCAGAUGGAGGGAGAACCGUCAGAAUGGGGUCUUGAACCAACAGCCACUAGAGAGAUCAGACUAUGUAUUGUAUGUUUUUUUCUGACAGGAUGAAGUUUGAAAACCAGCUCCAGCAGCUGAUAGAGCAGCAUAAGAACUUGCACUCUGUCUUUAGCCCAGACAGACUGCCUGCUGAAAUAGAGAGCGUUGAAAACGCCAAGUCUCAGCUGCUGAAGGCUGAACAGCUGAAGUUAUCUCAGCUCUGCCAUCUAGAGGAGGCGCUGGAUGAGGCCAGGAGGCAGACUUCGACUGACACGGCAGACAAACACGCAGACUGAACCCUGGAACUGUACACUGUAAAAAACGACCACUGUGUACAAUUACAGAUAUUACCACGGCUCAUAGUUAGAGAGGGUUCAGUGUGUAGAAGCAAAGUUGUGAAUGUUUUGUGAUUGUUCUUCUGCCCUUGAUAUUGUGUAUUGAGUCCCUCUGUUUGAUAUUGUGGUCCUCUGCUUGAUGCUGUGUAUUGAGGUCCCCUGUUUGAUAUUGGGUAUUGUGUUCCUCUGCUUGAUGUUGUAUAUUGUGUUCCUCUGCUUGAUGUUGUGGUUCUGGAUCAUUUGUACAUCAUUCUUUAUUGAUUAUUUAUUUGCUGCUGAGCAGUUUGCUUUUAAACAGAUUAAAUACAGUUGUCUAUGCUGGUUGAGGGUUACGUGUCUGUGGAUUGAGAGUCUCACACGGAUAAGAAUAAACAAACAUCCCCAACAUGAAUGCAACACAGACAGUCACCAGUGGUGUAAAGUACUUAAGUAAAAAUACUUUAAAAUACUACUUAAGUAGUUUUUUGUGGUAUCUGUACUUUACUUUACAAUUUAUAUUUUUGACAACUUUUACUUUUACUUCACUACAUUCGUAAAGAAAUAAUGCACUUUUUACUUCAUACAUUCUCCCUGACACCCAAAAGUACUCGUUACAUUUUGAAUGCUUAGCAGGACAGGAAAAUGGUCCAAUUCACACACAUCAAGAGAACAUCCCUGGUCAUCCCUACUGCCUCUGAUCUGGUGGACUUACUAAACACAAAUGCUUUGUUUGUAAAUUAUGUUUGACUGUUGGAGUGUGACCCUGGCAAUCUGUAAAGAAAUCAAAUUGUGCUGUCUGGUUUGCUUAAUUUACUUUUGAUACUUAAAUAUAUUUUAAACCAAAUACUUUUAGACUUUUACUCAAGUAGUAUUUUACUGGGUGACUUUCACUUUUUCUUGAGUUAUUUUCUAUUAAUAUCUUUACUUUUACUCAAGUAUGAGAAUGUAGUACUUUUUCUACCACUGACAGUCACACAGACAGACACAUACACACAUAAACUCAGCAAAAAAAGAAACGUCCCUUUUUCAGGACCCUGUCUUUCAAAGAUAAAUCGUAAAAAUCCAAAUAACUUCACAGAUCUUCAUCGUAAAGGGUUUAACCACUGUUUCCCAAGCUUGUUCAAUGAACCAUAAACAAUUAAUGAACAUACAGACGAUAGGCAAUUAAGGUCACAGUUAUGAAAACUUAGGACACAAAAGAGGCCUUUCAACUGACUGAAAAACACCAAAAGAAAGAUGCCCAGGGUCCCUGCUCAUCUGCGUGAACGUGCCUUAGGCAUGCUGCAAGGAGGCAUGAGGACUGCAGAUGUGGCAAGGGCAAUAAAUUGCAAUGUCCGUAGUGUGAGACGCCUAAGACAGCACUACAGGGAGACAGGACGGACAGCUGAUCGUCCUCUCAGUGGCAGACCACGUGUAACAACACCUGCACAGGAUUGGUACAUCUGAACAUCACACCAGCGGGACAGGUACAGGAUGGCAACAACUGCACCAGGAAUACAGUUACACCAGGAAUGCACAAUCCCUCCAUCAGUGCUCAGACAGUCCGCAAUAGGCUGAGCAGGGCUUGUAGGCCUGUUGUAAGGCAGGUCCUCACCGGACAUCACCGGCAACAACGUCGCCUAUGGGCACAAACCCACCGUCGCUGGACCAGACAGGACUGGC
rnacentral:lncRNA from 1 species